UGUUUCGGCUAGGGGGCCAUCCCGGCUUACCAACCCGAUGCAAACUGCGAAUACCGGAGAAUGUUAUCACGGGAGACACACGGCGGGUGCUAACGUCCGUCGUGAAGAGGGAAACAACCCAGACCGCCAGCUAAGGUCCCAAAGUCAUGGUUAAGUGGGAAACGAUGUGGGAAGGCCCAGACAGCCAGGAUGUUGGCUUAGAAGCAGCCAUCAUUUAAAGAAAGCGUAAUAGCUCACUGGUCGAGUCGGCCUGCGCGGAAGAUGUAACGGGGCUAAACCAUGCACCGAAGCUGCGGCAGCGACACUAUGUGUUGUUGGGUAGGGGAGCGUUCUGUAAGCCUGUGAAGGUGUCUCGUGAGGGAUGCUGGAGGUAUCAGAAGUGCGAAUGCUGACAUAAGUAACGAUAAAGCGGGUGAAAAGCCCGCUCGCCGGAAGACCAAGGGUUCCUGUCCAACGUUAAUCGGGGCAGGGUGAGUCGACCCCUAAGGCGAGGCCGAAAGGCGUAGUCGAUGGGAAACGGGUUAAUAUUCCCGUACUUGGUGUUACUGCGAAGGGGGGACGGAGAAGGCUAUGUUGGCCGGGCGACGGUUGUCCCGGUUUAAGCGUGUAGGUGUGUGUUCCAGGUAAAUCCGGUUCACUUUAACACUGAGGCGUGACGACGAGGCACUACGGUGCUGAAGCAACAAAUGCCCUGCUUCCAGGAAAAGCCUCUAAGCAUCAGGUAACAUCGAAUCGUACCCCAAACCGACACAGGUGGUCAGGUAGAGAAUACCAAGGCGCUUGAGAGAACUCGGGUGAAGGAACUAGGCAAAAUGGUGCCGUAACUUCGGGAGAAGGCACGCUGACACGUAGGUGAAGUGAUUUACUCACGGAGCUGAAGUCAGUCGAAGAUACCAGCUGGCUGCAACUGUUUAUUAAAAACACAGCACUGUGCAAACACGAAAGUGGACGUAUACGGUGUGACGCCUGCCCGGUGCCGGAAGGUUAAUUGAUGGGGUCAGCGCAAGCGAAGCUCCUGAUCGAAGCCCCGGUAAACGGCGGCCGUAACUAUAACGGUCCUAAGGUAGCGAAAUUCCUUGUCGGGUAAGUUCCGACCUGCACGAAUGGCGUAAUGAUGGCCAGGCUGUCUCCACCCGAGACUCAGUGAAAUUGAACUCGCUGUGAAGAUGCAGUGUACCCGCGGCAAGACGGAAAGACCCCGUGAACCUUUACUAUAGCUUGACACUGAACAUUGAGCCUUGAUGUGUAGGAUAGGUGGGAGGCUUUGAAGUGUGGACGCCAGUCUGCAUGGAGCCGACCUUGAAAUACCACCCUUUAAUGUUUGAUGUUCUAACGUGGACCCGUAAUCCGGGUUGCGGACAGUGUCUGGUGGGUAGUUUGACUGGGGCGGUCUCCUCCUAAAGAGUAACGGAGGAGCACGAAGGUUGGCUAAUCCUGGUCGGACAUCAGGAGGUUAGUGCAAUGGCAUAAGCCAGCUUGACUGCGAGCGUGACGGCGCGAGCAGGUGCGAAAGCAGGUCAUAGUGAUCCGGUGGUUCUGAAUGGAAGGGCCAUCGCUCAACGGAUAAAAGGUACUCCGGGGAUAACAGGCUGAUACCGCCCAAGAGUUCAUAUCGACGGCGGUGUUUGGCACCUCGAUGUCGGCUCAUCACAUCCUGGGGCUGAAGUAGGUCCCAAGGGUAUGGCUGUUCGCCAUUUAAAGUGGUACGCGAGCUGGGUUUAGAACGUCGUGAGACAGUUCGGUCCCUAUCUGCCGUGGGCGCUGGAGAACUGAGGGGGGCUGCUCCUAGUACGAGAGGACCGGAGUGGACGCAUCACUGGUGUUCGGGUUGUCAUGCCAAUGGCACUGCCCGGUAGCUAAAUGCGGAAGAGAUAAGUGCUGAAAGCAUCUAAGCACGAAACUUGCCCCGAGAUGAGUUCUCCCUGAGACUUUAGGUCUCCUGAAGGAACGUUGAAGACGACGACGUUGAUAGGCCGGGUGUGUAAGCGCAGCGAUGCGUUGAGCUAACCGGUACUAAUGAACCGUGAGGCUUAACCUUACAACGCCGAAG
rnacentral:rRNA from 1 species